GAUGAACGCUGGCGGCGUGCUUAACACAUGCAAGUCGAACGGAAAGGCCCUUGCUUGCAGGGGUACUCGAGUGGCGAACGGGUGAGUAACACGUGGGUGAUCUGCCCUGCACUUCGGGAUAAGCCUGGGAAACUGGGUCUAAUACCGGAUAGGACCAUCGUUUAGUGUCGGUGGUGGAAAGUUUUUUCGGUGUGGGAUGGGCUCGCGGCCUAUCAGCUUGUUGGUGGGGUAAUGGCCUACCAAGGCGUCGACGGGUAGCCGGCCUGAGAGGGUGUACGGCCAAAAUGGGAAUGAGAAAAGGGCCAGAAUCCCAAGGGGGGGAGGAGGGGGGAAAAUUGGAAAAAGGGGGGAAGGCUGAAGGAGGAGACGCGGGGGGGGGAAGAAGGGCUUUGGGGUUGAAACCGCUUUUGCCCGGGAAGAAGGGGAAGGGAAGGGAACCGGGAAAGAAAAAACGGCUAAACAAGUG
rnacentral:rRNA from 1 species